GGGGUUUAAAACUUUCCUGUUAUAAAACUUUAAAUUUCUCGAAGAAAUAAGGAUUUUCUUAUUCCAGGAGUAGACUAAGCCGGAUUUGGCACAACAUUUUGGAAUUGUGGGUCCUCAAUACUCUUCAACUUUGUUCUUGUUUGGCUUUACAACUAAUUUGAUCUGAUGUAGACGAAACAUGCGUCUGGCAUACUAAAUUAUAAUCCUGGUACCUUU
rnacentral:lncRNA from 1 species